ACGUGAGGCUAAUCCCUAAAUCCUCUCUCAGUUCGGAUUGGAGUCUGCAACCCGACUCCAUGAAGCUGGAUUCGCUAGUAAUCGCGCAUCAGCCACGGCGCGGUGAAUACGUUCCCGGGCCUUGUACACACCGCCCGUCAAGCCAUGAAAGCCGGGGGGUACCUGAAGUGCGUAACCGCGAGGAGCGCCCUAGGGUAAAACUGGUGAUUGGGGCUAAGUCGUAACAAGGUAGC
rnacentral:rRNA from 1 species